UUGAUCAUGGCUCAGAUUGAACGCUGGCGGCAGGCUUAACACAUGCAAGUCGAGCGGAGAGAGGUAGCUUGCUACUGAUCUUAGCGGCGGACGGGUGAGUAAUACUUAGGAAUCUGGCUAUUAGUGGGGGACAACAUUUCGAAAGGGAUGCUAAUACCGCAUACGUCCUACGGGAGAAAGCAAGGGAUCUUCGGACCUUGCGCUAAUAGAUGAGCCUAAGUCGGAUUAGCUAGUUGGUGGGGUAAAGGCCUACCAAGGCGACGAUCUGUAGCGGGUCUGAGAGGAUGAUCCGCCACACUGGGACUGAGACACGGCCCAGACUCCUACGGGAGGCAGCAGUGGGGAAUAUUGGACAAUGGGGGGAACCCUGAUCCAGCCAUGCCGCGUGUGUGAAGAAGGCCUUAUGGUUGUAAAGCACUUUAAGCGAGGAGGAGGGUACUGGUAUUAAUACUACCAGGUACUGGACGUUACUCGCAGAAUAAGCACCGGCUAACUCUGUGCCAGCAGCCGCGGUAAUACAGAGGGUGCGAGCGUUAAUCGGAUUUACUGGGCGUAA
rnacentral:rRNA from 1 species